CGCUGGCGGCGUGCUUAACACAUGCAAGUCGAACGGUGACCCAGGGCUUGCCCUGGUGAUCAGCGGCGAACGGGUGAGUAACACGUGGGCAACCUCGCCCCUGACGUUCGGGAUAACUCCUACGAAAGAGGAGCUAAGUACCGGAUACGACCUACUUCGGACAUCCGAUGGUGGUGGAAAGUUUUUUCGGUCAGGGGAUGGGCCCGCGGCCUAUCAGCUAGUUGGUGGGGUAAUGGCCUACCAAGGCGACGACGGGUAGCCGGCCUGAGAGGGCGACCGGCCACACUGGGACUGAGACACGGCCCAGACUCCUACGGGAGGCAGCAGUGGGGAAUAUUGCGCAAUGGGCGAAAGCCUGACGCAGCGACGCCGCGUGAGGGAUGAAGGCCUUCGGGUUGUAAACCUCUUUCAGCAGGGACGAAGCGAAAGUGACGGUACCUGCAGAAGAAGCACCGGCUAACUACGUG
rnacentral:rRNA from 1 species